rnacentral:rRNA from 1 species
GACAGAGGUGCCGAGCGUUAGGCGGAAUCACUGGGCUUAAAGCGUGUGUAGGCGGAUCGUUAAGUGUCUUGUGAAAUCCCCCGGCUCAACCGGGGAACUGCUGGGCAUACUGGCGAUCUUGAGCGGCCUAGGGGCAGAUGGAACAAGUGGUGGAGCGGUGAAAUGCGUAGAUAUCGCUUGGAACGCCAAAGGUGAAAACAGACAGCUGGGAGUGUGCUGACGCUGAGACACGAAAGCCAGGGGAGCGAACGGG